GUGUAGACAUGAGUCGUGCGCUUGUAUGUGUGCUGCUGGCCGCUUGGAGCCUUGGAAGCAACGGCCAGCCGGUGUUUCAGCUGACACGAGAAGUCUCCGCCGUUGAGGGUGAAACAGUGAUGCUGGACUGCACCUAUGACAGACUGGAGAGCAGAAAACACAUCUUCUGGUAUAAACAAGAAGGGAACGCAGGACCCGAGUUUGUUCUGAAUGCUUUUGAGAUCGGUCAGGGCAUGACGGCAGAAAAGUACGCCGACAGGUAUCACUGCAGCUUAAACCUCAACAUUGACCAAGCUCCUCUCCAUAUCGAUCAUGUGGAGCCCAACGACUCAGGAGUCUUCUACUGCGCCCUGAAGCCCACGCUGACACAUCCAAUGGCGUGCUUGUACAAAAACAUCUGUGCCCGCCUUAUAUCAUAA